UUUCCGUAGGUGAACCUGCGGCAGGAUCAUUAACGAGUAAAGUCCUUCGGGACUUUCUUAUCCAAACACCUGUGAAGAUUAAUUUUUGCUUUGGGAAUUUAAUUAUUCCCAACAAUCAAUACCAAUAAGUCGUCUUUUGUCUGAAUGAUUAUGGAACAAUCAAAACUUUCAACAACGGAUCUCUUGGUUCUC
rnacentral:misc_RNA from 1 species